GGGGAUUUAGCUCAGUGGUAGAGCGCUCGCCUAGCAAUCGUAAGGCCCUGGGUUCAGUCCCCA
rnacentral:tRNA from 1 species